CCUACGGGUGGCAGCAGUGGGGAAUAUUGCACAAUGGGGGAAACCCUGAUGCAGCGACGCCGCGUGAGUGAAGAAGUAUUUCGGUACGUAAAGCUCUAUCAGCAGGGAAGAAAAUGACGGUACCUGACUAAGAAGCCCCGGCUAACUACGUGCCAGCAGCCGCGGUAAUACGUAGGGGGCAAGCGUUAUCCGGAUUUACUGGGUGUAAAGGGAGAGUAGGCGGCAGGGCAAGUCUGGAGUGAAAUGACAUGGCUUAACCAUGGAACUGCUGUGGAAACUGUGCAGCUAGAGUGCAGGAGAGGUAAGCGGAAUUCGUAGUGUAGCGGUGAAAUGCGUAGAUAUUAGGAGGAACACCAGUGGCGAAGGCGACUUACUGGACUGUAACUGACGUUGAGGCUCGAAAGCGUGGGGAGCAAACAGGAUUAGAUACCCUAGUAGUC
rnacentral:rRNA from 1 species